AAAGCAUGGCAGGGCUGCAGGGAAAAGAUCUAGAAGCUAGAGCAGAUUGCAAAUGAUUUCAGGUGCUUACUAGUGCUGAUUGAAUAAGCGUGAAAUGAAAAUUGGACAACUGCAGUCUUGGUUUGCUUGGUAGAGGCUUCCUUUCAACUU